rnacentral:pre_miRNA from 1 species
GGCCCAAAUUUGAAGUAGAGUAGAUUAGUAUGAUCGGCUGACCCUACUUGAAUACCCUUCAUCAAGUUUGUGCCC